AUUGAACGCUGGCGGAAUGCUUUACACAUGCAAGUCGAACGGCAGCACGGACUUCGGUCUGGUGGCGAGUGGCGAACGGGUGAGUAAUAUAUCGGAACGUGCCCAAUCGUGGGGGAUAACGUAGUGGAAAUUACGCUAAUACCGCAUACGAUCUACGGAUGAAAGCGGGGGAUCGCAAGACCUCGCGCGAUUGGAGCGGCCGAUAUCAGAUUAGGUAGUUGGUGAGGUAAAGGCUCACCAAGCCGACGAUCUGUAGCUGGUCUGAGAGGACGACCAGCAACACUGGGACUGAGACACGGCCCAGACUCCUACGGGAGGCAGCAGUGGGGAAUUUUGGACAAUGGACGCCAGUCUGAUCCAGCCAUUCCGCGUGCAGGACGAAGGCCUUCGGGUUGUAAACUGCUUUUGUACAGAACGAAAAGGUCUCUAUUAAUACUAGGGGCUCAUGACGGUACUGUAAGAAUAAGCACCGGCUAACUACGUGCCAGCAGCCGCCGCGGUAA
rnacentral:rRNA from 1 species